rnacentral:snRNA from 1 species
GUUACAUCUCGACCUCUCGGCUAUGAUCAAAGGUGUGGUAUCUGUUCUUAUCAGCUGAAUGUCUAAUAUGAGAACUCUGUUCCCUCUACCAUAUUAAUCUUAUAUCUGUCCGUGGAUGGAUGCUUCUAUUCUUGUGUUAGCUCAGUUGUGGGUUAGCCUUGUAUGGGAGUACCCAUAAAAA